GGGCGAUUAGCUCAGUUGGAUAGAGCACUACCUUCACACGGUAGGGGUCGGAGGUUCGAGCCCUCUAUCGCCCACCA
rnacentral:tRNA from 1 species